CCUACGGGAGGCAGCAGUGAGGAAUAUUGGUCAAUGGACGAAAGUCUGAACCAGCCAAGUAGCGUGAAGGAUGACUGCCCUAUGGGUUGUAAACUUCUUUUAUAUGGGAAUAAAACGUUCCACGUGUGGGAUUUUGUAUGUACCAUAUGAAUAAGGAUCGGCUAACUCCGUGCCAGCAGCCGCGGUAAUACGGAGGAUCCGAGCGUUAUCCGGAUUUAUUGGGUUUAAAGGGAGCGUAGGUGGAUUGUUAAGCAAGGUGUGAAAGUUUGCGGCGCAACCGUAAAAGUGCAGUUGAAACUGGCAGUCUGGAGUACAGUAGAGGUGGGCGGAAUUCGUGGUGUAGCGGUGAAAUGCUUAGAUAUCACGAAGAACACCGAUUGCGAAGGCAGUUCACUGGACUGCAACUGACACUGAGGCUCGAAAGUGUGGGUAUCAAACAGGAUUAGAUACCCUUGUAGUC
rnacentral:rRNA from 1 species